rnacentral:rRNA from 1 species
GAUGAACGCUGGCGGCGUGCCUAACACAUGCAAGUCGAACGAAGCACCUUACCUGAUUCUUCGGAUGAAAGUUUGGUGACUGAGUGGCGGACGGGUGAGUAACGCGUGGGUAACCUGCCCUGUACAGGGGGAUAACAGCUGGAAACGGCUGCUAAUACCGCAUAAGCGCACGAGGAGACAUCUCCUUGUGUGAAAAACUCCGGUGGUACAGGAUGGGCCCGCGUCUGAUUAGCUGGUUGGCAGGGUAACGGCCUACCAAGGCAACGAUCAGUAGCCGGUCAGAGAGGAUGAACGGCCACAUUGAAACUGAGACACGGUCCAAACUCCUACGGGAGGCAGCAGUGGGGAAUAUUGCAAAAUGGGGGAAACCCUGAUGCAGCAACGCCGCGUAAGUGAAGAAGUAUUUCGGUAUGUAAAGCUCUAUCAGCAGGGAAGAUAAUGACGGUACCUGACUAAGAAGCUCCGGCUAAAUACGUG